GUCUUUAUGAAUUUAAUAUAAAGUUUGAUYUGCUCAAUGAGAAAUUAAAUAGCUGCAGAAAUUUAACUGUGCAAAGGUAGCAUAAUCAAUAGUUUUUUAAUUAAAAGCUGGUAUGAACGAUUUGAUAAGGUAAAUAUUGUCUCAAUUUUAAUAAAAUUAAAAUUUUUUUUGUAGUUAAAAAACUACAAUAAUUUUAAAAGACGAGAAGACCCUAUAGAAUUUUAUUUUUUUUUAUAAAUAAAUAUUUAAAUAAAUGAAUAAUUUAAUAUAAAAAAAAAUUUGGUUGGGGAAAUUAUUAAAUUAAUAAAAUUUUAAUUUAAAAAUAAACAAAAAUUAUUGAAUAUUUGAUCUUUUUAUUAAAAUUAAGAGAAUAAAUUACCUUAGGGAUAACAGCGUAAUUUUUUUGGAGAGAUCAUAUUGAUAAAAAAGUUUGCGACCUCGAUGUUGAAUUAAGAUAAAAUUUUAAUGAAGAAGUUAAAAAUUUUUGGUCUGUUCGACCAUUAAAAUCUUACAUGAUCUGAGUUCAAACCGGAG
rnacentral:rRNA from 1 species